rnacentral:rRNA from 1 species
GAAACAUCUUCGGGUUGUGAGGUUAAGCGACUAAGCGUACACGGUGGAUGCCCUGGCAGUCAGAGGCGAUGAAGGGCGUGCUAAUCUGCGAUAAGCGCCGGUAAGGUGAUAUGAACCGUUAUAACCGGCGAUACCCGAAUGGGGAAACCCAGUGUGAUUCGUCACACUAUCAUUAACUGAAUCCAUAGGUUAAUGAGGCGAACCGGGGGAACUGAAACAUCUAAGUACCCCGAGGAAAAGAAAUCAACCGAGAUUCCCCCAGUAGCGGCGAGCGAACGGGGAGGAGCCCAGAGCCUGAAUCAGCAUGUGUGUUAGUGGAAGCGUCUGGAAAGGCGCGCGAUACAGGGUGACAGCCCCGUACACAAAAGCGCAUGUGCUGUGAGCUCGAUGAGUAGGGCGGGACACGUGGUAUCCUGUCUGAAUAUGGGGGGACCAUCCUCCAAGGCUAAAUACUCCUGACUGACCGAUAGUGAACCAGUACCGUGAGGGAAAGGCGAAAAGAACCCCGGCGAGGGGAGUGAAAAAGAACCUGAAACCGUGUACGUACAAGCAGUGGGAGCAC